AUCAGAAGUGCGAAUGCUGACGUGAGUAACGACAAAACGGGUGAAAAACCCGUUCGCCGAAAGACCAAGGGUUCCAGUCCAACGUUAAUCGGGGCUGGGUGAGUCGACCCCUAAGGCGAGGCCGAAAGGCGUAGUCGAUGGGAAAAUGGUUAAUAUUCCAUUACUUCUGUGUAAUGCGAUGAGAGGACGGAGAAGGCUAAAUCAGCCUGGCGUUGGUUGUCCAGGUGAAAGGAUGUAGGCAUGUAUCUUAGGCAAAUCCGGGGUACUCUAUGCUGAGAUCUGAUAGCAAGCUGUACUUGUACAGCGAAGUGGUUGAUGCCAUGCUUCCAGGAAAAGUCUCUAAGCUUCAGUUACACAGGAAUCGUACCCGAAACCGACACAGGUGGUCAGGUCGAGUAGACCAAGGCGCUUGAGAGAACUCUGCUGAAGGAACUAGGCAAAAUGGUACCGUAACUUCGGGAGAAGGUACGCUGUUGUUGGUGAUGGAACUCGCUUCCUGAGCUGACGACAGCCGCAGAAACCAGGCCGCUGCAACUGUUUAUUAAAAACAUAGCACUCUGCAAACACGAA
rnacentral:rRNA from 1 species